rnacentral:lncRNA from 1 species
GAGGGAUGGCUUAAAGUCACUGAAGGGGUGAGUAAGAGUCAAGUCAUAGGAUUCGGCCACAGCUUCAAUCUUUCAGUGGCUCGAUACUCUUCGACAUCCUCAUAGACCUCGACAUUCCAAACUUGGAGCGAUGUGCACAUGGAGGAGAUUGUGCAGAGGCUUCUGAGCCAGCGAUCUCAGAGUUUUCUGGAUGCCAUCCGCGAUACGAUCA